GGGAUAGCGAGGAGAGGGAAGAAAAAAAAGAAACGCUGUUGCGCUUGCGCCGUUGCCACGACGACUGCCGACGCUCCAACAGUCCCACGAUUGUCCUCUGCCCAUGUAAAAGCAAAUGAUUUGUUUUGUGUCAAGUGAAAACUCUGCCAAAUUGGCGUUUUUAGCCUGCCGCAGAUGGCAGGAAGGCAUUUGUCAUGCGCUUGGUCGAGAGCGGUGCAGCAUGGGUUUGGGUCGUCUUGCACCAUGGACUCACAGGAACGGUAUGGCCGAAAAAAGAAACUUGAAGUCGGUUCCUGCUCCUGUAAUGUAUUUAUAAGAGCAGCAGCAUUCUCCUGGUCUACGGCACUGAAGCGAUCUUUCCUCAAUACGGGAGCUGUCGUUGGUUGCAAUGCUCUCGCUUAGCUUGACAAGUGCCUUGCUUUUGGCUUCUCUUCGUGCUGUUGCACUGAGGGAAGGAUCCACCUGCAGGACAGUAUGUACAUCUCGUCCCAGUCAGAAGUGGAGCCUGCCGAAGCCUGAAACCAUAGGAUACAUUAAGGAACCAGCUGGUUUAAGAACUACAGUAGUUUUGUGAAAGUAUGUACAUAGUCAUUCUGAUGGUUCGUCACAUCCGUAAGGGGAAAGCCUAAGCUACAUGAAGGUCAGUCACAAAGAAGAGAAGUGUUCUCCCCAUCGAAUUCUUUUUCGAUGACCUUGUUCCGUGUAUGUGAAGAAAGUAGAAACCAAACCGUCUAACCAAAUAACACAGACCGUUGGGCUAGUUGGUAUUCCAUGGCAAAGGCGCUCGUUCCUGUUUGUCUUCCGCUGUCCGUUUUGUAACACUUUGCAGCGUUUUUUGCACCUUUGCCGUCUGACCAAUUAUUUUCUUAUCAUCAUCGUCCCAUAGUUCCAUGCAACGUGAUGAGCUCUGGGAUUUUCUGAAGUCAUCUGUUUCACUUCACGCAUUUCCAACAGUAUGAAGUGAAAACGCGGAAAUAAAAUAAACCCACUGACCUAAGGUAAAACUAGGUAAAACGUUUAAACUAGGUAAAUGACUCGGAGUUUGUGUGUGAGUAUAACAAUUAACUUGCCUUUUCGUCCUGAAUCCCAUGUCGAUCCUUCCCGAAGAUGCACCCCUUCUUUAUAUUGGAUAGAACUUGAAAGGGUAUAUCCAGUGAAAUGGGGACUUCGCCUUUCCCAGUGCUGAACAGGAGCCUAGCUGCAAUGCCGUCAUGUCAUUAAAUAUAAAGUUCGCUGACAUGGUCAUCAUCAUCAUAUAAUUCAACGAAUGUAGUUGUUCAUUGAAAGCAGGAUUGUCAGUUAUUUUUAUAAUGUAUCUGGGUUACAGCUAGUACAUGCUAAAAGUAUUUUAGUUAUAGCUAGAGAUACCACAAGAAAAACUACACAGUUGGUCUUUUCCAAUAUUCCCUACAAAUUGCUGUUGCUGAACAGGAUGGGCACACAACAACAAAAGAACAAAAAACCUAGGCUCAGUCUUGACUGUGACCCACUGAUGGAUCGGGGGAGGGGGGGCUAUCACCCUCCACCCCCCCCCCCCCCAAAAAAAACGUGUGAGUGCAAGUGCUCACAGUUUAAUGCAGCAGCUAUUCCAAACCCAAACUUUUCAUUGUGUGUGCGUCAUUUGCUGUGUAUCCCUUGUUUGCAAACUUUAGUGCUGUAGAAGUUGUAGAAGAAAAAAACAAUAAAAAACUGAAGAGCAGAUACAGGUAAAUGAAAAACGAGCUGAGUAACAGGUAACAGUGCCUUCUUGAAAAUGUAUCUGGCGUUUUCCUCAAGUUACAAGUACCUAUAAACAAAGAUGAGUGCGGCUGGGGUUAUACCCGCGGAUACCCGCGCAAGCGUGUUCUUCGCGGGUACAUCUGUGUCAUAGCAGGUUGCUGGUCGACCCGCACUGCCUCCGCGGAUUACGCGGGAAUACCCGCAGGCGCAAAACCAGCCCGUCGGCUUGUGGUGCGGACAGUUUCCCCAGCAUCAAUAAAUAAUUUCGUCCUGUGAUGAUCAUAUGCGGCAUAAAUGAAACUGUGUUCGCAUUCGGUUGCGGGUCGGGAUGUGCGGAUGCGGAUUGCACCAGUGGCAUGUUGUUGCGGUUGCGGGCCAUGCGGAUGCCGUGUGGGUACGAAUUUUUAUGCCCGCACUCAUCUACCUACAUACAAGUAUUCAGAUUCUUCUGCUCAGACCGAUAGACGCUUAUGAUUGAAAGACAUGUCUUUCAAUCAUAAUAAGCGUCUAUCGGUCUGAGCAG